GGGCCCAUAGCUCAGCCUGGUUAGAGCAGGUGACUCAUAAUCACUUGGUCGGAGGUCCGAAUCCUUCUGGGCCCA
rnacentral:tRNA from 1 species